UUUCCGUAGGUGAACCUGCGGAAGGAUCAUUACCGUGUUUUGACUGGGUUGUAGCUGGCCUUCCGAGUCAUGUGCACGCCCUGAUCAUCCACUCUACACCUGUGCACUUACUGUGGGUAUCAGUUCGUGACGCGUGCUAUUUUACCGGCGCUUUGGAAGCUUGUCUGUGCCUGCGUUUAUCACAAACACUAUAAAGUAUCUGAAUGUGCAUUACGAUGUAAAACAUCUAUAUACAACUUUCAGCAACGGAUCUCUUGGUUCUC
rnacentral:misc_RNA from 1 species